GGGGGUGCCCAGGCUCAGUCUGCCACUGCUGUGGUUAAGAGUAAUCCUGCAAUGGUGGUGUACAAUACAGACAGGGUCAAAAACCCUGUAAUAUGCUGAAGCUGAAUUCAAUCAAGGCUUCGAAACCCUGAGAGGGAAGGGGAAUGAAACUGCCUCCAGCAACACCCUCACCAUGAGAGCAAAAUGGAGGAAGAAAAGAAUGCGUCGACUCAAAAGGAAGAGAAGAAAAAUGAGACAACGGUCAAAGUGAUCAACGUACACAGCAACAACGUGGAACGCCAGACUCUGCUAAGGGCCAAUUGAACACCAUGAAAUGUCAUCAACAGUAAUUAGUAGCAUGUAGCAGUAGUAGCAUGAAGCAUAAAAGCAAAAAAGAACUCCAAUCAAAUCAUCUCUCCUCGAAUACAAGAGUAGUUAGCUUAGUUGUUUCACCUAGCAGAACAUUUGUCACCUUUGCCAUCAGAUUCCUACGGUAGAUGAAGCUACUUGCAUGACAUAAGACCGAGCCAAGUUCACUUAUCUUAGUUAGGAUGCUUUAGAUUUUAGCAUUGUAAACUGGACCAACGAAUUUCAUUUCCUUUAAUGCUGCGCAUGUGGGAUAGGGGUUAAGAAAAUAAAACCAUCUCUGUAAAAAACAGAAAA